GGGGGCUUGCUCCCGGGUUAGUGGCGAACGGGUGAGUAAUAUAUCGGAACAUAUCCGGAAGUGGGGGAUAACGUAGCGAAAGUUACGCUAAUACCGCAUAUGCCCUGAGGGGGAAAGGGGGGGAUCGCAAGACCUCUCGCUUUCGGAGUGGCCGAUACCGGAUUAGCUAGACGGUGAGGUAAAGGCUCACCAUGGCGACGAUCCGUAGCUGGUCUGAGAGGACGACCAGCCACACUGGAACUGAGACACGGUCCAGACUCCUACGGGAGGCAGCAGUGGGGAAUUUUGGACAAUGGGCGAAAGCCUGAUCCAGCCAUACCGCGUGAGUGAAGAAGGCCUUCGGGUUGUAAAGCUCUUUCAGCCGGAAAGAAAUCGCACUUUUUAAUACGGAGUGUGGAUGACGGUACCGGAAGAAGAAGCACCGGCUAACUACGUGCCAGCAGCCGCGGUAAUACGUAGGGUGCGAGCGUUAAUCGGAAUUACUGGGCGUAAAGCGUGCGCAGGCGGUUUGAUAAGCCAGAUGUGAAAUCCCCGGGCUUAACCUGGGAACUGCAUUUGGAACUGUCAGACUAGAGUGUAGCAGAGGGGGGUAGAAUUCCACGUGUAGCAGUGAAAUGCGUAGAUAUGUGGAGGAAUACCAAUGGCGAAGGCAGCCCCCUGGGUUAACACUGACGCUCAUGCACGAAAGCGUGGGGAGCAAACAGGAUUAGAUACCCUGGUAGUCCACGCCCUAAAACGAUGUCAACUAGUUGUUGGGGGAGGAGACUUCCUUAGUAACGCAGCUAACGCGUGAAGUUGACCGGCCUGGGGAGUACGUCCGUCAGAUU
rnacentral:rRNA from 1 species